rnacentral:rRNA from 1 species
GAUGAACGCUGGCGGCGUGCCUAAUACAUGCAAGUCGAGCGAACAGACGAGGAGCUUGCUCCUCUGACGUUAGCGGCGGACGGGUGAGUAACACGUGGAUAACCUACCUAUAAGACUGGGAUAACUUCGGGAAACCGGAGCUAAUACCGGAUAAUAUAUUGAACCGCAUGGUUCAAUAGUGAAAGACGGUUUUGCUGUCACUUAUAGAUGGAUCCGCGCCGCAUUAGCUAGUUGGUAAGGUAACGGCUUACCAAGGCAACGAUGCGUAGCCGACCUGAGAGGGUGAUCGGCCACACCGGAACUAAGACACGGUCCAGACUCCUGCGGGAGGCAGCAGUAGGGAAUAUUCCGCAAUGGGCGAAAGCCUGACGGAGCAACGCCGCGUGAGUGAUGAAGGUCUUCGGAUCGUAAAACUCUGUUAUUAGGGAAGAACAAAUGUGUAAGUAACUAUGCACGUCUUGACGGUACCUAAUCAGAAAGCCACGGCUAACUACGUG